rnacentral:misc_RNA from 1 species
CUUAUUUUUCUUCUUCUUCUUCUUUGCAGCUUCUGUCGUCGGCUCAUCCACUGUCAAACCAUCAAUUUUCUCCUCAACCUCCUUUUGCAGUGAGGAAGCAGACCCGUUGGCCGUUUCAUUAUCAUUGCGAACCUCAGAUGUUCCUUCUAUAACAACGGAAGCAGAGUUUGGCUCUUCUUUUGCCAUUAUCAAUGUCUACACUGUGUAACUGAAGAAGAAGAAUGAGUUACAGGCGCUGUAUUUAGCUAUCUUUUUGCCCUAGCUUUUGUUUCACCUCACCAAACAAAGAG